rnacentral:rRNA from 1 species
UACGAAGGGGGCUAGCGUUGCUCGGAAUGACUGGGCGUAAAGGGCGCGUAGGCGGAGGUGACAGUCAGACGUGAAAUUCCUGGGCUCAACCUGGGGACUGCGUUUGAGACGUUACAUCUAGAGUGAGGAAGAGGGUUGUGGAAUUCCCAGUGUAGAGGUGAAAUUCGUAGAUAUUGGGAAGAACACCGGUGGCGAAGGCGGCAACCUGGUCCUUUACUGACGCUGAGGCGCGAAAGCGUGGGGAGCAAACAGG